CAGAGCCACGGUAAUACGUAGGGUGCGAGCGUUGUCCGGAAUUAUUGGGCGUAAAGAGCUUGUAGGCGGUCUGUCGCGUCUGCUGUGAAAACCCGAGGCUCAACCUCGGGCCUGCAGUGGGUACGGGCAGACUAGAGUGCGGUAGGGGAGAACGGAACUCCUGGUGUAGCGGUGGAAUGCGCAGAUAUCAGGAAGAACACCGAUGGCGAAGGCAGUUCUCUGGGCCGUAACUGACGCUGAGAAGCGAAAGCGUGGGGAGCGAACAGGAUUAGAUACCCGUGUAGUCCCUGUCUCUUAUACA
rnacentral:rRNA from 1 species